CUAACCCCCUUACCCCAACACCCACCCCCAAACGAAACCUAGCCAGUAGCCACUCUCUUCUCACACUCUCGCUCUCUGCACUCUCGAGGCCUGCGGCGAACCCACCUAGCGCUGGGGAGACCGUUCCUCUCACCACCUUGCAGCGCCGCCGAACUCUCCCCCCUAGCGCCUCCGAACCUUCCUCUCACUGCUCCCAGGACCUCCUCGCGGACAGAGCACAACGAAGCCCCAACCCCAGCCAGCAGUGAGCAGUCCAGCACCACCCUCGCACCCAGCAGUAGCACAGCACCACCCACUCACCCAGCACAGCACCACGCCACCACCCAGCCGCGUUUCUGGCCACCCACAACUUAGCACCUCCCACCCAGCCACCGAUUCAAGUCAGAUAUGGAGUCGGAGCCACCGAAUCAGAAAUUUGACAAGUAUGGAGCUUUUAGGAUCGUUGUCUCCUUUUGUUGCCAAUAUGCUGACUAAUAUGAACAUAUGCAAGACAAUUCAUAACUGAAGGGUUUUUGAAGCUAAAUAUAAAGAAAUGGUUAAGGUCAUUGAUUACUAGAAGUUAGUGCUAUUGUUCCAACAAUGAUAGCUACAAUAGUUUUUAAUACAUCAGAAAGUUUAUUGGAUACUAUGAAUAAAUGGCUCAAUGUGGUUCAGUCAAUUCAGAUUCCUUUGCACUCAUUCCACUUCUUACAUUGGUGUUUAAAGAAAAGGUCAUGGGAACUUUUAGAAUAGGCCCUAUUGUAGAGGUAAGCUUUGUUUGUAUUCUAACUUUUGUAAAAUUGAUUUUGAUGUAUAAUGAUUAUGUUUGGUAAUUUGUCUAAAA